rnacentral:rRNA from 1 species
CCUACGGGAGGCAGCAGUGAGGAAUAUUGGUCAAUGGACGGAAGUCUGAACCAGCCAUGCCGCGUGCAGGAAGACGGCGCUAGGAGUUGUAAACUGCUUUUGUACAAGGGUAAACCUGAAUACGUGUAUGCAGCUGAAAGUACGGUACGAAUAAGGAUAGGCUAACUCCGGGCCAGCAGCCGCGGUAAUACGGAGGAUCCAAGCGUUAGCCGGAUUGAUUGGGUUUAAAGGGUGCGUAGGCGGAUUGAUAAGUUAGAGGGGAAAUGUCCGAGCUUAACUCGGGAACUGCCUCUAAUACUGUUGAUCUAGAGUGUUGAUGCGGUAGGCGGAAUGUAUGGUGUAGCGG